AAACCAUCGUCGUUCGUGCCCGGCGGUGAAUGUGAAAUGUUUUGCGUGUGGUAGUGUGGGCCAUUUCAGCAAAUACUGUCGUCGUAAGCAGCAGAAGGAGGACCCCAAUACGAAGCAACCGAUGAAGCAACCGACGAAGCUACCAGGCCAGGUGGAUAAGGCGAAAGCAGUUUACACUGUCAAUUGGAGUGACGCAGAAUAAAUUCAACUGGAAAUGGCACUGAUGGUUCGGGAGCUUGGCGAAAGGUUUAUCAAGUGGGCAAUAAAGAAGUGCGUUUUAAACUAGACACUGGAGCCGAUGUGAACUGUAUACCUAUUGAUGUGGUGAAUAAGGUGGGC